AACGAACGCUGGCGGCAGGCCUAACACAUGCAAGUCGAACGCUGUAGCAAUACAGAGUGGCAGACGGGUGAGUAACGCGUGGGAACCUUCCCAAUGGUGCGGAAUAGCCCAGGGAAACUUGGGGUAAUACCGCAUAAGCCCUUAGGGGGAAAGAUUGAUCGCCAUUGGAUGGGCCCGCGUCGGAUUAGCUAGUUGGUGAGGUAAUGGCUCACCAAGGCAACGAUCCGUAGCUGGUUUGAGAGAAUGACCAGCCACACUGGGACUGAGACACGGCCCAGACUCCUACGGGAGGCAGCAGUGGGGAAUCUUGGACAAUGGGCGCAAGCCUGAUCCAGCCAUGCCGCGUGAGUGACGAAGGCCUUAGGGUUGUAAAGCUCUUUUGCCGGGGACGAUAAUGACGGUACCCGGAGAAUAAGUCCCGGCUAACUUCGUGCCAGCCGCCGCGGUAA
rnacentral:rRNA from 1 species